rnacentral:rRNA from 1 species
UACGAAGGGUGCAAGCGUUACUCGGAAUUACUGGGCGUAAAGCGUGCGUAGGCGGUUCGUUAAGUCUGAUGUGAAAGCCCUGGGCUCAACCUGGGAAUGGCAUUGGAAACUGGCGGGCUGGAGGACGGUAGAGGGGGGUGGAAUUCCCGGUGUAGUGGUGAAAUGCGUAGAGAUCGGGAGGAACACCAGUGGCGAAGGCGGCCCCCUGGGCCGUUCCUGACGCUGAGACGCGAAGGCGCGGGGAGCGAACGGG